rnacentral:rRNA from 1 species
UACAGAGGGUGCAAGCGUUGUUCGGAAUUAUUGGGCGUAAAGCGCGUGUAGGCGGCUUUGCAAGUCGGGUGUGAAAGCCCUCAGCUCAACUGAGGAAGUGCGCCCGAAACUGCAGAGCUUGAGUGCCGGAGAGGGUGGCGGAAUUCCCCAAGUAGAGGUGAAAUGCGUAGAUAUCUGGAGGAAUACCGGUGGCGAAGGCGGCAUCCUGGACCGACAUUGACGCUGAUGAGCGAAAGCUAGGGGAGCAAACGGG